rnacentral:lncRNA from 1 species
GUUCUGAGUGGAGCACAGAGUGACGUCUCUCUGGAGGCUCGUCAUCUACUCUGCAUUUUCAGUGCACUCAUUCAUUUUUUAACACCCACUUUUUCCUUUCAGGGUCAGCCUACCCAAGUAAGGACUGGGUGGAAGGAAGAGAAGCAUCCCAGACAGGCAGCUGAUGAUGUGAGGGGCGAGCGAAGAACAACAUCCACACUCCACAUCAACAGCAAACCAAACAGGUGACCAGAUGCCUUUUACAAAACCAGGCUGUAUUGCAGGCCUGGCCAACAGAGAAGGACUUUUUGAAAGCCCCGCUAGUCACAGAUGAGGCUGCGGCUGAGUUGGAGAUGAUCGAUCUUUGUGAGGAGGACCAACUGAAACCUGCUUUAAGGGAAGGGACCAUUGAGUUGUGGAAAAGUGUGCCAAUGGAAAAUUACCCCAAUGUCAAACGGGCUGCGCUCUCCAUACCGUCAAUGUUUGGGUAAACAUACGUCUGCGAGUCGGUGUUUUCUUCCCUGAAACACGGGAAAUCAAAGCAUCGAUCUGUUCUGACUGACACACGUGAAAGAAUUGCUUUGAGUGGCAACAACGGAAUACAAGCCAGAUCUGAAGAGGAUUGUUCAAGGCAAGGAAUGCCAGAAGUCCCACUAAGCAACAUGCAUAGUGAGAGAAAAACGCUAUCGUAAAUUGUUAUAUUUUUUGUUUGUGGACUUGGUUGAACUGAGAGUUUGUGUGAGACAGCACACAAUGUUUAUUGUUGAAAAUGACUGGCCUGUGUUCUUAGUCUUGUAGUACUGUAGGAGUCCAUUUCUGUCAUUAUCAUGUUGGUGUGUGACAUUUACAGUAAAUCUGGCUGAGCAGAGGUCUGUGUGUGUGUGAGAGAGAGAGAGGGGAAGGGAUGGGGGGAUGUUCAUGUGUGCCCAUGUGUAUGAUGUGGCUCUUUGCAGUAACACAGUAAAAAAAUUGGCUCUUAGUCUCUGACUGGUUGGCCACCCCUGCUGUAUUGCACUACACAAAUAGGUGUUUAUGUCAUUCAGCCUACAAUAAAAAUAAGAUGGACUAAAUAACAGAAACAGGCAACAGGUGUGAUAAAUAGUUUUUUUGAGCAAACAUUUAUGUUAAUUCCAAGUGGAUUUUACCACCAAUCUGAGGAGAGAUACGAGUCAAUAUCUAAUAAUACUGAUGACAUAACCCCAACGCAAGGUCACUCCCCUCUGCCCAGACAGUGAAAGAUACAAACAUGUUCUUCAUACUGUAAGUUUUUCAUGAAGC